GGCCUCCCAAUUCUUACCACAGGCUAUGUUUAUUACACUGACUGUAUAGAAAGAAGAGGUACAGUAGAUGCACCCCUUAUACACGUCAACACAGGUCCUUUGCCUGCUGCUGAUUUGGUACACCAAA